UCUCUCGAAAACUUCUCUUCUGUCGGCUCUUUCUCAGUUCUCCAUGGGCAAAUCUAAAUCAGCCAACAAAGUAAUCUUCUUCUCCACCAAAGUAAUCAAAAUCAUCCAAUUAGGGUUUUUGUUUUUUUUUGUUUUUGGCGGUCUCAGUGAAGAAGAUGGUGCUGUCGAACAAGAAGCUGAAGCAGAGGAUUCGACAAGAUUUGGUUAAAUCACUAUCUGUCUCUGUAGCCGAAACCAAUCCACAAUCUCAGUCUCUGAAAUUCCUCCUUGAUUCAUCUAGCCACAAACCCAGAUUGUCCAAGAGAGAGAAGAAGAUGGGGUUGUUCCUAAAAAGUUAUAUGUUAGGGGUAUUCCUUAUCAGAGUACAGAAGAUGAGAUUCGUAGCUACUUCAGAAGCUGUGGAGUCAUCACUAAAUUUGACUGCAAGAUGCGUCCUGAGGAUGGUGCUUUCAGUGCCUUCAUCACUUUUGAAUGGUGGCUUAUCUGAUGAAAAAGCAUGGAAUGGGAUUCUCUAAAGCUGUGGAACUCAUAAGGAGCCGACGACAUCAGGCAUAUCCUAAUUCCGGUUUCAUUUGCAGCUCCAACAAUUUGAAAAAUCCAUCUAAGGUAUGCAUGACUUCUUCUUUUUUCUAUUGUGUGUAUACAGAGAAUCUUUAUCUUUCCUUUUGCUUGGAAACCUUUUGAAAUUUUGGUGACUGAUUCCUCGGUUACUUGGAUCAAGAAUACUUACACACAAGUCAUAUCAAUAUGCAUUACAUAACAUGUUCAAAAUAUUGUAGACUAAUCUGUUUCAGGAUCAUUAGUAAUAAUAGUAAUAAAGCAAACCCUUUUUGCCUUGGCAGUGGUAUCUUCAAAGCAUUGUUGUGUCAACAAAGAAACCAAACACAGGCUCCAUUCAUUUUUAUUCACAGAAAUUAGAUCUAGAGACCGAAAUGAUAAACACCGUUCUUCAGCUCUGUUUGUUUCUAAGACAGUGAAAGCAUAUCACCAGUCAUCUUCUAUGCUUUCUCUCCACGCUCACCUGAAAAUGUUUUAUCAAACAUUAACAGACAUUUUAAGGCAAGCCAAGAUUUGAGUCUUUCGUUUAAGAAGAAUAAGGCUUUUGAAGUUUUAAUUGCGUUUGCUUAUCAUCAUGUUUUUUAUCUUUAUCAUCAUGUUUAUUAAUGUUUUUUUGAAUUUUACGUUUUUUUUUUUUGCUGAAGUAUAUUCUAUGUUUUUA